UACGUAGGUGGCAAGCGUUGUCCGGAUUUACUGGGCGUAAAGCGUAUGCAGGCGGACCUUUAAGUAGGAAGUGAAAGGUGGGAGCUCAACUCUCACACUGCUCCCUAUACUGGGGGUCUUGAGUGCCGGAGAGGACAAGGGAACGGGUCGUGUAGCGGUGAAAUGCGCAGAUAUCAGGAGGAACACCGGUGGCGAAGGCGGACUCUGGGCCGAUACUGACGCUGAGGAGCGAAAGCGUGGGGAGCGAACAGG
rnacentral:rRNA from 1 species